rnacentral:rRNA from 1 species
AUACGUAGGGGGCGAGCGUUGUCCGGAAUGAUUGGGCGUAAAGGGCGCGUAGGCGGCCCGGUAAGUCUGGAGUGAAAGUCCUGUUUUUAAGAUGGGAAUUGCUUUGGAUACUGUCGGGCUUGAGUGCAGGAGAGGUAAGUGGAAUUCCCAGUGUAGCGGUGAAAUGCGUAGAGAUUGGGAGGAACACCAGUGGCGAAGGCGACUUACUGGACUGUAACUGACGCUGAGUCACGAAAGCGUGGGUAGCAAACAGGAUUAGAUACCCUGGUAGUCCACGCUGUAAACGAUGAGUGCUAGGUGUUGGCCAGCGAUGGUCAGUGCCGCAGUAAACACAUUAAGCACUCCGCCUGGGGAGUACGGUCGCAAGACUGAAACUCAAAUGAAUUGACGGGG